AUGGUGGCCGGAGGUGGGAUUUCCGGCGAAAAGUUUCCCGGCGUCUCCGGCGAGUUUUCUCCUCUUCCGGCGGGUUAGAGGCUCGGGGGCUAGGCCGGGGAGGGAGAGGAGAAGAUGGGGGUCCGAACUGGGGUGGAGUGGUGGCUGGUGGCUGGCCAGACGGCGGCAGCUGGUGGCUGGAAGUUUUCCGGCGGAGAGGGGCUCGGGGGAACUCAAGGGAGAAAGAGAGAAGGAAGAGGGGAAGAGAACAAAAAAACUGAGGGGGAGGCUUUGGGCUGUUCCACAGCCGGUCCAGCUACAAAAACCCAACCAAAAAACAAAAUAAUACCCAUUAAUAACUACCCCUUUUUACCAUCUCAAAAAAUUUACUCUCUUAAAUCAUAACUUUUUCAUGCUAACUCCGAUUUUAACACAUAGCAUGUCUACGAACUCGUAUUAACGUCCUCUACAACUUUCAUGAAGAAAGUUUCUCCAAAUUCUAAACGGAAAAGAAAGUCAACUUUAGGGUCCUUAGAUAGUCAACGGUUAUUCAACACGGUAAAAGACUAAAAUAAUACCAAAGUAAAUAACCGUAAAAUAACUUAAGAACCGGGGUGUGACAAUUCUCCCCUCCUUAUAAAAGUUUCGUCUUCGAA
rnacentral:lncRNA from 1 species